CUUGGUGCCUCACUGUGGCAAGACGACCCGCUAGACUUAAGCAUAUUAAUCAGCGGAGGAAAAGAAACUAACUAGGAUUCCCUCAGUAACUGCGAGUGAAGCGGGAUGAGCUCAAUGUGUGAAUUGGCCAGGGGUAGCCCUCUGUGUCCGAGUUGUGCACUAAGGACACUCUGUCGGCAGGGCUUGGGGCGGAAGUGCCAAUGAAACAUGGCAUCAGAGAGGGUCAUAGUCCCGUGCUUGCCCAAUCCAAGCCUGUGUGCAGCGAGGAGUGCUCCACGAGUCGCAUAGUUUGGUAAUGCUAUGCCAAGUGGGAGGUAGAGCCCUUCUAAAGCUAAAUAUGAUGACGUGACCGAUAGUUCACAAGUACCGCGAGGGAAAGGUGAAAAGUAACCAUGUAGAAUGGGUUGAAAGAGAAGUGAAAGUGCUACCGGGAUAAGGGCAUGCGACGGCUGGUGUCUGUGGGGCGUGCUUCAGUGCUGCCCUUCCAGAACGGUGUGCGGGCGCGUCUGAUGGGGAGACAAGGCCGUUUGGGAAUGUGGCUCAUCCUUCGGGGUGAGUGUUAUAGCCCAGGUGUGCAGAGGAACCUCAGGGCGCGUGCGAACUGUGCAUCUUGCGGUGGCAUGCCUCCCGUCUCGAAACACGGACCAAGGAGUGCAUCUUGCAUGCGAGUCGAAGGGGGGUGGAAUCCCUGGAGGCGUAGCGAAAGCGAAAGACUGUGAAUUGUUGGCAGGCCCUUGUGGCCGGAUGGGAUGGCAAAUCAGCAGCGACCCGCCUUGUGCGAGGGAGAGCAUGCAGGAUACGACCCGAAAGAUGGUGAGCUAUGCUUGGACAAGGCGAAGCCAGUGGAAACGCUGGUGGAGGCCU
rnacentral:rRNA from 1 species